CACAAGUCCUCGUGCAGCUGUUGUUGCACGCUGUUGCGUCCCUUCAUGUAUCCACAGUUGCGCAGAGAUUAAACAUUCAUUCUUGUGAUGGCUCCGCUACAGUAACAAACUGGGAUUACAACAAUCGAAAUAUUUCUAAUUUGACAUACAGGAAAAUAGUCUAUAAUUCAUUAACGGAUUUUUGUUGCAGUUUGCACAAAUAAUUUGACUGCAGAUGCCAGGAUGGGAUCCCCCGCAAAAUCUGACGAAAAGACCAUGGAAUCAAUCAACUCCAACAGCCACAAAUCCAAUUUUUCGCAUUGUUUAGGCGGGCUGCCAACCGCAUUUUGCGUCAUGUUGUCGGUGUGUUCUAUGGCGUUUUGUUUUUUGGUACACUUCAAGACGUCUCACCUGGAGUACAGAGUGCAGAUUUUGGAGAUGGAGAGAAUUUCCCCGAUCCCUUCCGAUGAGAAUGGAACGGUACCUGGUCUUCAGGAUAUCAUUGAAAAACUAGUGCACGAGAGACUGACCAAAGCACUGCCCAAACUUCGCGCUACCAGGGAUGUCAUUCAAGAGUGCUCCUGUCCUCCAGGGCCUCCAGGAAAACGGGGAAGGAUGGGAAGACGAGGCGACUCUGG